GGGGAUUGCAAAGAUGAAGAUGGUGUGAAAGGGAGGUGUGUCUCAGGUGCCAUCACUAAUUAUACUAAUCAGCUUCUCACCUAUGGAAGCUCUGCCGAUGAAUCACAAUAUAAUCUCACUGAAGCACUUCUAUUCCUUUCUCACUUAAUGGGUGACAUCCAUCAGCCUCUUCAUGUAGGAUUUACUUCUGAUAGAGGAGGAAAUACGAUCCCAGUGCGUUGGUUUAGAAGGAAAUCAGAGCUCCAUAAAGU